rnacentral:rRNA from 1 species
GAAUGCUGACAUAAGUAACGAUAAAGCGGGUGAAAAGCCCGCUCGCCGGAAGACCAAGGGUUCCUGUCCAACGUUAAUCGGGGCAGGGUGAGUCGACCCCUAAGGCGAGGCCGAAAGGCGUAGUCGAUGGGAAACAGGUUAAUAUUCCUGUACUUGGUGUUACUGCGAAGGGGGGACGGAGAAGGCUAUGUUAGCCGGGCGACGGUUGUCCCGGUUUAAGCAUGUAGGCUGGUUGUCCAGGCAAAUCCGGAUAAUCAAGGCUGAGGUGUGAUGACGAGGCACUACGGUGCUGAAGUAACAAAUGCCCUGCUUCCAGGAAAAGCCUCUAAGCAUCAGGUAACAUCAAAUCGUACCCCAAACCGACACAGGUGGUCAGGUAGAGAAUACCAAGGCGCUUGAGAGAACUCGGGUGAAGGAACUAGGCAAAAUGGUGCCGUAACUUCGGGAGAAGGCACGCUGGUGUGUAGGUGAAGUCCCUGCGGAUGGAGCUGAGACCAGUCGAAGAUACCAGCUGGCUGCAACUGUUUAUUAAAAACACAGCACUGUGCAAACACGAAAGUGGACGUAUACGGUGUGACGCCUGCCCGGUGCCGGAAGGUUAAUUGAUGGGGUUAUCCGUAAGGAGAAGCUCUUGAUCGAAGCCCCGGUAAACGGCGGCCGUAACUAUAACGGUCCUAAGGUAGCGAAAUUCCUUGUCGGGUAAGUUCCGACCUGCACGAAUGGCGUAAUGAUGGCCAGGCUGUCUCCACCCGAGACUCAGUGAAAUUGAACUCGCUGUGAAGAUGCAGUGUACCCGCGGCAAGACGGAAAGACCCCGUGAACCUUUACUAUAGCUUGACACUGAACAUUGAGCCUUGAUGUGUAGGAUAGGUGGGAGGCUUUGAAGCGUGGACGCCAGUCUGCGUGGAGCCAACCUUGAAAUACCACCCUUUAAUGUUUGAUGUUCUAACGUUGGCCCCUGACCGGGGUUGCGGACAGUGUCUGGUGGGUAGUUUGACUGGGGCGGUCUCCUCCCAAAGCGUAACGGAGGAGCACGAAGGUUAGCUAAUCCUGGUCGGACAUCAGGAGGUUAGUGCAAUGGCAUAAGCUAGCUUGACUGCGAGCGUGACGGCGCGAGCAGGUGCGAAAGCAGGUCAUAGUGAUCCGGUGGUUCUGAAUGGAAGGGCCAUCGCUCAACGGAUAAAAGGUACUCCGGGGAUAACAGGCUGAUACCGCCCAAGAGUUCAUAUCGACGGCGGUGUUUGGCACCUCGAUGUCGGCUCAUCACAUCCUGGGGCUGAAGUAGGUCCCAAGGGUAUGGCUGUUCGCCAUUUAAAGUGGUACGCGAGCUGGGUUUAGAACGUCGUGAGACAGUUCGGUCCCUAUCUGCCGUGGGCGCUGGAGAAUUGAGGGGGGCUGCUCCUAGUACGAGAGGACCGGAGUGGACGCAUCACUGGUGUUCGGGUUGUCAUGCCAAUGGCACUGCCCGGUAGCUAAAUGCGGAAGAGAUAAGUGCUGAAAGCAUCUAAGCACGAAACUUGCCCCGAGAU